AUUGAACGCUGGCGGCAUGCCUUACACAUGCAAGUCGAACGGUAACGGGCCUUCGGGUGCCGACGAGUGGCGCACGGGUGAGUAAUACAUCGGAACGUGCCCGAUCGUGGGGGAUAACGAGGCGAAAGCUUUGCUAAUACCGCAUACGAUCUACGGAUGAAAGCAGGGGACCGCAAGGCCUUGCGCGGACGGAGCGGCCGAUGGCAGAUUAGGUAGUUGGUGGGAUAAAAGCUUACCAAGCCGACGAUCUGUAGCUGGUCUGAGAGGAUGAUCAGCCACACUGGGACUGAGACACGGCCCAGACUCCUACGGGAGGCAGCAGUGGGGAAUGUUGGACAAUGGGCGCAAGCCUGAUCCAGCCAUGCCGCGUGCAGGAUGAAGGCCUUCGGGUUGUAAACUGCUUUUGUACGGAACGAAAAGCCUUCUUUUAAUACAGGAGGGUCAUGACGGUACCGUAAGAAUAAGCACCGGCUAACUACGUG
rnacentral:rRNA from 1 species